UAAAAAAAGAGAUGCCCAUGAUCAUACAAG
rnacentral:piRNA from 1 species